rnacentral:rRNA from 1 species
GGCGGCAGGCCUAACACAUGCAANUCCACCGCCCCGCAAGGGGAGCGGCAGACGGGAGAGUAACACGUGGGAACGUACCCUUUGGUUCGGAACAACCCAGGGAAACUUGGGCUAAUACCGGAUAAGCCCUUACGGGGAAAGAUUUAUCGCCGAAGGAUCGGCCCGCGUCUGAUUAGCUAGUUGGUGGGGUAAUGGCCCACCAAGGCUACGAUCAGUAGCUGGUCUGAGAGGAUGAUCAGCCUCACUGGGACUGAGACACGGCCCAGACUCCUACGGGAGGCAGCAGUGGGGAAUAUUGGACAAUGGGCGCAAGCCUGAUCCAGCCAUGCCGCGUGGGUGAUGAANGCCCUANGGUUGUNAAGCCCUUUCGGCGGGGAAGAUAAUGACGGUACCCGCAGAANAANCCCCGGCUAACUUCNUGCCAGCAGCCGCGGUAAUAC